GAUGAACGCUGGCGGCGUGCCUAAUACAUGCAAGUCGAGCGAACAGACGAGGAGCUUGCUCCUCUGACGUUAGCGGCGGACGGGUGAGUAACACGUGGAUAACCUACCUAUAAGACUGGGAUAACUUCGGGAAACCGGAGCUAAUCCCGGAUAAUAUAUUGAACCGCAUGGUUCAAUAGUGAAAGACGGUUUUGCUGUCACUUAUAGAUGGAUCCGCGCCGCAUUAGCUAGUUGGUAAGGUAACGGCUUACCAAGGCAACGAUGCGUAGCCGACCUGAGAGGGUGGUCGGCCACACUGGAACUGAGACACGGUCCAGACUCCUACGGGAGGCAGCAGUAGGGAAUCUUCCGCAAUGGGCGAAAGCCUGACGGAGCAACGCCGCGUGAGUGAUGAAGGUCUUCGGAUCGUAAAACUCUGUUAUUAGGGAAGAACAAAUGUGUAAGUAACUAUGCACGUCUUGACGGUACCUAAUCAGAAAGCCACGGCUAACUACGUG
rnacentral:rRNA from 1 species